UGAACAACUUCAUUGUUAAUGAGGACUUUGUAGUGUUCAGUCCUAAAGAAAACACGUCUCACCAAGUCGUGAUCUAGACAAUGGUCCAAAUCUAUAAGGGUGUAGCCACAAUAAGGAACUAGGUGAGAAAGUUGGUUCAGGAGGCCCAGGGCAUAAGCAAUGUGAGUAAUUGUCCCACCUACACUGAUAGGUCCUACGGUAGAUAAUGCAAUACGCUAUAGGUUUUCUAUGAGGAAGGUUUCAGAUUUGAUAGGACGGGACUGGGUGAUGCAAAAGAGAAAGAAUAUCUCCUCUGCACUGACUCGUUAUUUUCACUUCUACCGAAAAAGGUUUGGGCUAAAA
rnacentral:lncRNA from 1 species